GGUGGUCAUGCUGAAGGUGUCCUUGCACUGCAAAGUGUGCGCUGGCAAGGUGAAGAAGCACCUCACCAAGAUGGAAGCGCACGGAUGAAAUAGUGGCAAGAAGAUCAUGGUCGUGUGCAUCAUCAAGCACACCAUGGCGAGCAUCCACCUCCUCACAGUGGCAAGAAGAGCAGGUGCCUAGUUUGUAAUCGCUGUCGAAGGAGGUCCAUGUUGAAGAACAUAAAACUUGUAGAGCUUGUAAAGUACCAUGCUAUUGAACUUGUGGAGCAUGUAAUUGUGACUGCCAUACUGUUGUUACACUUGUAGAGCUUGCAAAGUGUAUGUUAGAGCUUAUUACAUGUUAUUUGUACAGCUGCUGCUUUGUACUGACUCUGGCUGAUAAUAUUUGAAGUAUUUUGUUA